rnacentral:rRNA from 1 species
AGAGUUUGAUCAUGGCUCAGGACGAACGCUGGCGGCGUGCUUAACACAUGCAAGUCGAGCGGUAAGGCCCUUCGGGGUACACGAGUGGCGAACGGGUGAGUAACACGUGGGUGACCUGCCCCCUACUCUGGGAUAACCCCUCGAAAGAGGAGCUAAUACCGGAUACCACCUCCCGCGGCAUCUCGGGAGGUCGAAAGUUCUUCGGUCAGGGAUGGGCCCGCGGCCUACCAGCUAGUUGGUGGGGUGACGGCCUACCAAGGCGACGACGGGUAGCCGGCCUGAGAGGGCGACCGGCCACACUGGGACUGAGACACGGCCCAGACUCCUACGGGAGGCAGCAGUGGGGAAUAUUGCGCAAUGGGCGAAAGCCUGACGCAGCAACGCCGCGUGAGGGAUGACGGCCUUCGGGUUGUAAACCUCUUUCAGCGGGGACGAAGCGAAAGUGACUGUACCCGCAGAAGAAGCGCCGGCUAACUACGUGCCAGCAGCCGCGGUAAUACGUAGGGCGCAAGCGUUGUCCGGAUUUAUUGGGCGUAAAGAGCUCGUAGGCGGUCUGUCGCGUCGGAUGUGAAAACCCGGAACUCAACUCCGGGCCUGCAUUCGAUACGGGCAGACUUGAGUACUGCAGGGGAGACUGGAAUUCCUGGUGUAGCGGUGGAAUGCGCAGAUAUCAGGAGGAACACCGGUGGCGAAGGCGGGUCUCUGGGCAGAAACUGACGCUGAGGAGCGAAAGCGUGGGGAGCGAACAGGAUUAGAUACCCUGGUAGUCCACGCCGUAAACGGUGGGCACUAGGUGUGGGGACCAUUCCACGGUCUCUGCGCCGCAGCUAACGCAUUAAGUGCCCCCCCUGGGGAGUACGGCCGCAAGGCUAAAACUCAAUGAA